rnacentral:rRNA from 3 species
GAUGGCAGAAAGGUCCAUUGGGAAUGCGUCCGGUCCCGGAAGCUCUUCCAAACGGUUAGACAUUUCACGAAGAGCCUGUGCCCAACGAGAAGUAGAGUCUGCCAUCA